rnacentral:pre_miRNA from 1 species
UCAGGUUAGGUUGUUAGGAUAUAUAGUUAUAUAUAUAUCUAUAUAUCUUAACAACCUAACCUGA